AAAGUUUCUAAAAUCUUGAAUGAUUAGAAUAAAGGUUAAAGAAUAAAACCUAGAUGAGAAUUUGAGAAUUUAUUUAAAAUUUUCAAGAAAAACCUAUAUGGUUUGAUAUUCGAAUGAGAAUAGAGAAAAUAUGGGUUACAAAAUUCCAAAACCCUAGAAAUGAAUCAAUAUGUACUUGAAGGAAUAUUAAGAAUAAGGUAUUACGAUACCUUUAAAUUCGAUGUGAACGGAAUAGUCUAAAAAAAAAUGUUAUAUAAGUACAUAUGGAAAUUUUAUUAUUGGAGAUAAGAUUUCACAUGAAGAGAUGCUAUGAGGUUAAACGAAGAUGAGUAUAUGUAUAGAAAUAUAUAUACUUAGUAAGGUGCUAUAUAUAUUUUAGCAAGAGGAAUGAUGAAUUAAGUUAAUGAUAUAAUGAU
rnacentral:lncRNA from 1 species